rnacentral:rRNA from 1 species
AUUGAACGCUGGCGGCAGGCCUAACACAUGCAAGUCGAACGGUAACAGGAAAAGACCUUCCGCUUAGGUGACGCGAGUGGGAGAGGGGUGUGAUGUCCGGGAGACUGCAUGUUGGCGUGGGGGAACUCCUGGAAACGGUAACUAUAACACCGUAAAGUACCUACACGAAAAAGCAGGACCUCUUCGGCCCUUGCCCGCUUAAGUGACCCGAUGUCGGAUUAGCUAGUUGGCGGGGUAAGGGCCCACCAAGGCGACGAUCCCUAGCUGGUCUGAGAGGAUGAUCAGCCACACUGGAACUGAGACACGGUCCAGACUCCUACGGGAGGCAGCAGUGGGGAAUAUUGCACAAUGGGCGCAAGCCUGAUCCAGCCAUGCCGCGUGGAUGAAGAAGGCCUUCGGGUUGUAAAGUACUUUUGGUGGGGAGGAAGAGAAGCAAGUUAAUACCUCGGCGCAUUGACGUUACCCGAAGAAGAAGCACCGGCUAACUUCGUG